GUAGGUGGCAAGCGUUGUCCGGAAUUAUUGGGCGUAAAGCGCGCGCAGGUGGUUCUUUAAGUCUGAUGUGAAAGCCCCCGGCUCAACCGGGGAGGGUCAUUGGAAACUGGGGAACUCGAGUGCAGGAGAGGAAAGUGGAAUUCCACGUGUAGCGGUGAAAUGCGUAGAUAUGUGGAGGAACACCAGUGGCGAAGGCGACUUUCUGGCCUGUAACUGACACUGAGGCGCGAAAGCGUGGGGAGCAAACAGGGAUUAGAUACCCUGGUAGUCCACGCCGUAAACGAUGAGUGCUAAGUGUUGGGGGGGUUUCCCGCCCCUCAGUGCUGCAGCUAACGCAUUAAGCACUCCGCCUGGGGAGUACGGUCGCAAGACUG
rnacentral:rRNA from 1 species